rnacentral:lncRNA from 1 species
AUUUCUUUCUGCUGUAAUGUUAAUAGAUUUGGUUAUUGGAGUAUCUUGGUUUCAUUUUUAAUUUGUUCCCUUGCUUUUUCAUGUUGUUUGUGCGUCUACCCAUCAAAUAGUAUGGAUCUGAAGCAGUAGAGCUUCCACCCUGUGGACUGAUAGUGUCCUCACUUUUUAGGGGGAGACAAAUAAUAAUAACAACAACCAAUGCAAAAAAUAUAUAUAGCAUUAAACCAAGUAGUUUCUACUAUGAUAUCUAUAAUGUUAAUUAUCAAAAUAUACAGAAAUGAUAUCAUCAGUUAUUGCCUACUACAAAAACAGUAAGUUUGAAAAGUUUUAUAAUUUCAAAUGGUGGACAGGCAGAGAAAAGAAGUGAUAUAGGAUAUGAUGAUUAUGAGAGUGGAGGAGAGAAGAAGUAAAAAAUUAAAGUGAAAGAGAGAACAAUGGGUAUUGUUAAACAAACAACAAAACAAAACAAAACUAAUCCAUGAAAAAUAAGUGGCUUCAAAAAUGCUAGAAAUGAGAAAAAAUAUGAAUAUGUACAAAAAUAUGUACAUGUACAAAUCCCAUGUGCCAUUAAGGUCACAAUUAAACAGAGAAAAAGAAUUUUUAAAAAAUCUUGAUGAAAAGUUAAAGAAUUCUUUCCAUUGGAGUUCAAAAGAUCCUCAGCUUCUCUUCACAGCAGUUUUAGGUGGGGUUGUCUGGCACAUGAAGCUCCAUUUUCCAGAUGCCUCAGUGAGAAAAGUAACCCCAUAGGCAGAAUUCCUGGAGGCAGAGUUUGAGCUUAGGUGGACUCCAGGAUCUUUGCUGAAUACCAAUUGGUCUGGAGGUUUUAAAUCAGUACACCUCCAGCACCUAGUACUUGCUGGUCCAUGCUGGAAGACUGUACCACAGGGAUCUCCCCUGGAUUCCACUUGUGUGGUAGGGGACCCAAUUCUUAGUCCCUUUCAUCACCUUCAGACCCCACAUUUCCUGGUCUUGGGUUCAGUCUUCAAACAAUCUCUCCUGUCCCUGCCCUUCCAAGUUCCCCACCAGAUGCAUCUCUCCCAGCCAGUCCUGCAAGCAGUCAGAUUGAAGAGGGAGGAGUAGAGCCAGUAAGUUUUCAUGACCAUUGGGCAAUGUGUGUCACUAGGCCUGUAUUUCCGGCCAAACUGAGAUUUGCCAGGAAUCAGCCCCCUCAGCUGUGGCCCUGGUUCUGUGACUGAAAAUGGUUCCUUCCUUUGUCUUUUGUCCAAUAGAGGGAGAGAUGGUGGCUUCUUUCCCCCCACACAGAUAUUGUGCAGCAUGUAUUUCAGAUUUGCCAGGCAGUGUCCUUGAUCUCUAAACACUCUGUACCCAGACACACCUCAGACCUCCUCACAAUGUGGGCUCCUUCCAUUCCCUUAUCCUUCCACUAUGCUCAUGGAGGGAAGGCUCUGGCUGGUGCUUGUAGCCUGGCAGUGGUAGUAGCUGUGAGGCUGGGGAUUUCUUCCUUAUUUUAUUAUAUUCAACCUCCUGAGUCCCAAUCUGCUUUGAAUGUUCAGUUUUAAAUUCCAGUAAAAUUUCCCCACUUUUUUUUUUCUUUUUACCCACAGUACUAAAAAGCUGCUUUCUUGGUCAGUCUAUGGAACAGCCAGGAAAGUUACCUCCUCUAUUCCACCAUCUUGAAAAGUCUUUGAAGCCCCUCUUAUCUCACUGUCAUGAACAACAGAAUUUCCUAGGCACUCACUGGUGUUUGCCCCAACAAAAUUCUUAUUUUUUUCCUUAAUGUAUCACUAAGAAUUGGUUUUUUUUUUUUUUUGCUUGCAUUUGAAAGCAUAUCAUACUCUAAUAUUUUUUUAAGUCUAUCAAAUGCUAAUAAUCUAAACUCAACAAAGUAUAGAUUAUCACUGAAGCUUCUGAAAGUUUCUCUAGGAGGGCUGGGACUAGGGAUCAGUGGUAGAGCACUCGCCUAGCACAUGUGUGAGGCAUUGCGUUAGAUUCUCAGCACCACAUAAAAAUAAAUAAAUAAAAGUUUCUCUAAGAACUCUAAAAAAUGUUCAAAACAGUAUUCAUUAGCCAUAUGUCAUUAUAGAACAAUUGAAGUGUGGCCCAUCUAAAUUGAGAUAUAGCUCUUAAUGUAAAAUAUGCAUUUAUCUCAAAGACUUAAAGUGAAAAACUGCAUAUAGAAUAUCUCAUCAAUAAUUUUUAAUAACUUUUCUAAUUGAAAUUUUGCAUAUUUGAAGUUAAAUUAUAUAGGCUCUUGCCAUGGUGCCCAGAUGAAUAAUUUUAUUAAAGUUAAGUUUAUCUGUUUCUUUUUGCGUUUUUAAUGUGGCUACUGUACCAUUUUAAAUUAUGCAUGAGGCUCACACUAUUGCAGAGCACUGCAGAGCACUGCUCUAAGGCCAAGAACUCCCUUCCUGAAACUUAAUUUCUUUUUGUCUCUGUGUUUAUAAUGUUUUUUUGUUGCUUUUUCCCAUUGAACAAGGUACAUGGGCUAAGUUUCUGUCAGUGGGCUUCCUACUCACAGUUCUAAAUGUUUUUGACAACUCAAUUAAGAGAAGCUGAUUGGUUCCUUUUAGGUAGAAAGGCUCUGUCUUCACUUACCAAGGAUAUGUCUAGAGACUCAAUACCAGAACUUCAGUUUUGUAAGAAUUUCUCUGACAUAAGAAUAAAAUAAAUGUUUCAUUUUUUCCUUUGUUUCUCAGUUGCAAAUAAUUUUUUUAAAAUGGCUAACGUGCUGAAGGCUAAAAAAAAUGCUGUGUUGCUUUUAUGUAACUGUAUUAAAAUACCUGAGACAAUAAACUAAAAAAGGAAAGUUUGAAUCCAUGAUUUUGGAGAUUUCAGUCCAUGAUGGCUUGGUCCAGUUGCUUUGGGCCUACAAUAAGGCAGUACCUCAUGGUGGGAGCACAUGGCAAAAUUGUACACCUCAUGGUCUGGACUUAAAAAGGAAAGAGAAAAGGACUAAACUCCCAAUAUCCCCCUUUGAGAACACACACCAAAUGACCUAACUAAAUCCCUCUUUGCCUCGCCUCUUAAAGGUUCCACCACCUCCCAAUAGUGCCACAGGCCAGGACUAAGCCUUUAACACACAGGCCUUUGAAAGAGAUUUAAGAUCCAAACUAUAGCACAAGUCUUCCUUAGAAGGGAAGCUUUCAGAAGAAGCUAAUGAGUUUUCCAAGGUUGGGAGAUAAUAUUUCAUUUGCAGCAGGGGGGAUCUUAAGUAAACUAGAAUUCUUUUCAUUUAACUUUUUCCUAAUAUAGAAACAAAUUUUUAGUGCAUUCCAUUUUGCUUGGGAAAGUAAUAAUUGAUAUUUUCUCUGUUUCUUAAACAUUUUAUUUCCAAAUGCUACCCUGAUGAAAAAUUAAUGAUGGUGAUAAACACUGAAAGCUACGUAACUGCUUGUUGGUGGUGUACAUGAUCACCUCUGUGAAAAGAGCUCUGGGGAGGUUGGAGGUGUAGGUAGGACAGUGGUAGGACACCUGCUUAGCAUUCACAGGUCCUGGGUCCAAUCUCCAGAGCCAAAACAAUAAAAAUUAUAAAAUGAAAAACAAGAGCUCUGGGAAUUUAGGAAUUCAAUCUUUACCUAAAAUUCUUCUGUUAAUCACAAGGAGUUUUAAUCAUGGUGUCAAGUAUAUGAGGAUUCAGAAUAUUUAUACAGAUUGUAUAGUUUUAUAACACAAGGUCACAUCAUGUGAGCACUAGAGGGUUCUUUUCUCAUGCAUUUGAAGAAUGAAGUGUGCAGAUGACGGAAGGUGAGAAUUCAGCAGCAGAUUUGGUGGAAGCAAGCAAGGAAAGCUCCCACAUUCUGGGAGGACACCCUUGAUGACUGUCUUGUGGUUUUUUUUUUUUUUUUAAGAAAGAGAGAAAGAGAGAGAAUUUCAAUAUUUAUUUUUCAGUUUUUGGCAGACACAACAUCUUUGUUUGUAUGUGGUGCUGAGGAUCGAACCCAGGCCGCACGCAUGCCAGGCGAGCGCGCUACCACUUGAG